AGAGUUUGAUCCUGGCUCAGGAUGAACGCUAGCGGCAGGCUUAACACAUGCAAGUCGAGGGGCAGCAUGGGAGUAGCAAUACUUCUGAUGGCGACCGGCGCACGGGUGCGUAACGCGUAUGCAACCUACCUGUAACAGGGGGAUAACACUGAGAAAUCGGUACUAAUACCGCAUAACACUAUGAGAGGCAUCUCUUGUGGUUGAAAGUUUCGGCGGUUACAGAUGGGCAUGCGUUGUAUUAGCUGGUUGGUAAGGUAACGGCUUACCAAGGCGACGAUACAUAGGGGGACUGAGAGGUUAACCCCCCACAUUGGUACUGAGACACGGACCAAACUCCUACGGGAGGCAGCAGUGAGGAAUAUUGGUCAAUGGACGGAAGUCUGAACCAGCCAUGCCGCGUGCAGGAAGACGGCUCUAUGAGUUGUAAACUGCUUUUGUACAAGGGUAAACCUGAAUACGUGUAUUCAGCUGAAAGUACUGUACGAAUAAGGAUCGGCUAACUCCGUGCCAGCAGCCGCGGUAAUACGGAGGAUCCAAGCGUUAUCCGGAUUUAUUGGGUUUAAAGGGUGCGUAGGCGGAUUGAUAAGUUAGAGGUGAAAUGUCCGAGCUCAACUCGGGAACUGCCUCUAAUACUGUUGAUCUAGAGAGUAGAUGCGGUAGGCGGAAUGUAUGGUGUAGCGGUGAAAUGCUUAGAGAUCAUACAGAACACCGAUUGCGAAGGCAGCUUACCAAUCUAUAUCUGACGUUGAGGCACGAAAGCGUGGGGAGCAAACAGGAUUAGAUACCCUGGUAGUCCACGCCGUAAACG
rnacentral:rRNA from 1 species